GUGAAUUUGUAGCCUUCAAGGCUCACAUUCUCUAUCCUUUACACACCUGUGCACCCCCCUGAAGCGGAGAGCUAUUAGGCAUUAGCCGAGCGCCUCCCUUCGGUUAUUAUAUCAAACUCAAACUACGUUUACUAGAAUGUAUACCGUCUUGUUGUAACGACAAGUACAAUCCAAUA
rnacentral:misc_RNA from 1 species